AGAAGUGUAGCGCAGUGGUAGAGCGUUUGUGCUGUGCACAGGAGGGCAUGGGUUCAAAUCCCCUCCGUCCCC
rnacentral:tRNA from 1 species